CCCUUAGAUGUUCUGGGCCGCACGCGCGCUACACUGACGAAUGCAACGAGCUUAUAACCUUGGCCGAAAGGUCUGGGUAAUCUCCAAAUUUCGUCGUGAUGGGGAUAGAUUAUUGCAAUUAUUAAUCUUCAACGAGGAAUGCCUAGUAAGCGCAAGUCAUCAGCUUGCGUUGAUUACGUCCCUGCCCUUUGUACACACCGCCCGUCGCUCCUACCGAUUGAAUGGUCCGGUGAAGCGCUCGGACCGCGGCCUCUUGACGGUUCGCUGUCGAUUGGCUGUGGGAAGUUCGUUAAACCUUNUNAUUUAGNGGAAGGAGAANUCGUANCA
rnacentral:rRNA from 1 species